AAAAUUAUGCUCAUGCGAAACUCAAGGCUGGCCAUGGAUCCUAACAUUCAAGCUAAACAUCUCAGCAUGAUCUAGUUUGCAAGGCCCCAUUAUACUAUCUGCUGUUAUAUCCAAAUAACAAGAAUUAUGUCCUGUAUCUUUUUAUUUUUUAGUCUUCAAGCAAAGUCAUCAGAAUUUUUAAAAAACAAGUUCAAACACAGUUUUUUAAAAAAAACAAAUAAAACAAAACCUAUUCGUGAUUUUGGGAGGUUUUUUUUGGUAGUGGUUGAGGUUCGAAUUGUAGUCUCAUGUCGAGGUUUGAUUGGUAUGGCGGUUGCCUCGAUUUUUGCAGAAUCUUUUGCUAUGGCAGGUGUACAAGCCCAAAUAUGCCGGGGCCCAAGAAAAUAAAUAUGCCCAAACAUGCCCAACCCACUAAACCUGGCCCAAACAAAAAACAAAAUAACAGAAACCCUAGGAGCCUAUUUGCUUCAGCACUGCCGCAACUCACCCUCGCACACUGCCGCGAAUCUCGCGCCACGACCCUCCCCAACAUGCACCGCUCCAUGCGCUAGCAAUACCUACAGCAACAAACGCAAAACAAAACAUCAAAAAAAAUGGAACAAAAACAACAAUAUGCCAACGAAAAAUAGGAGAUUUCUUUGGAUUUGGGUUCAUUUUUUCCCAUUUUCGGCUAUUUAAAGCCAUUAUCGAAUCUGUAAAAAGGAGGGGGAUUACAGUUUAGAUACGAAAAACAGAGAGAAAAUAGAGAUUUACUUAUUGAUUUCCGAAUACAAAAGGUGGUUUUUUUGGAGUUUUUUUAUUCCUAGUUUCGUUUUGUUUUCUUUUUUCUCUUUUAGUUUUUUUAUUUUAUUUUAUUUUUCAUUUAAAACAAAGAAAGGAAAAGACUUACCUGGUCGCCGGAGUUGUCGAGCCAGUGUCUUCUCCGGCGAAAUCGGGGCAUGGGGCACUAGGCUCGAACGGUGGCGCAAUGAGGGAGGGGGUUAAAAAAACCCCUAGCAGACCACUGUUCUUUAACACAAAAAAAACAAGCAGAAUUUUUUUUUAAGGUUUUGGCUAACUUAAAGAAGAAACGAAAACGGCGUAGUUUUGCCUAUACCAUCCGCCUUUUUAUUUUCAAUGGACUAUUUCUGCAAUUAGUCCUUCGGAUUUUAUGGUGUUUUUAAACUGUUUUUUUAUUUCUUUCAAAUUUUACUUCACAUUUUAUUUUUGUUUCAAAUUAAUCCCCAUUGCUACGAGCGUUUUAGGAAGGCAGAUUAUUUCUAUUUUAGCCCCCUCAUUUAACGCAAGCAUUGCAAAUUAGUCCUUCGUUUUGUUAAUUUCCGUUUUUUUUAAUUCGUUUUUUACUAUUAUUAUCACUAUUAUAUUAUAUAUAUUAUCAUUAUUACAAAUUAUUAUCUCUAUAUUCGUUCACAUGCAUAAUUUUUAUAUAAUGUAUAUACAUAUGCAUUUUUUCUUAUAGUCUUCACGCAUUGUUUUUAUAUAAUAUAUAUGCAUUCUUAUAUAUAUACUACCCGUUUAUUCGUACAUAUAUUUUUAUACAUAUGCUUUAUAUUUCAUUUUCCUAACUUUUAUAUAUAUAUACUUUUAUAUUUUAGUUUCAAUUUUGUAUUUUUUUAUUUUGUAAAUAUAUAUACAUAUACAUACAUUUUUUUAACUUUUAUAUACUUAAUAUUAUAUAUAUAUGCUUUAUACAUUUCUAUUAUUUUUAAAUAUAUACACAAAUACAUAUUUUUAUAUUUUUAUCUUACUUUCAGAAUUUUCAUGUGUACACAUACAUGUAUUUUCUUUGUAAAAUAAACAUGCAUAUUUUCUUAGAAGUUAUUAUAAGUUUUACAUAUUUCAUUUUUUUUAAGUAUACUGUAUGUGUUUUAAUAUGCAUACACGUAUUUCCAAAUUUACUUACAUGUUGUACUUAUUUAUGUACAUAUACAUAUGUUGUAAAUAUAUAUAUUUAGCUGACGUUAAAGUAUUUGUUUUAUGAGGUAUAUUAACUUUUUAUCAUUUUUUUUGAAAAAAAAAGGGAAAAUAUAUUUGGUUUUGUCAAAACAUCAAAAUCAUUUUCUCUUGACAAAGUUUUUUGAAUAAAAGCAAUAUUCAAAGUUUGGGAUUUUCAAGAAAAAUUGAGCCCUAACGUAUUGGGUUCUGAUUUUCUUUGAUGAUCUUAAAUGGCCGAGGAUAUUCUUUAUUCAAAAUGCAUGAGUAUAAAAAUCAUUUUUGGGAACUUAACUUGUUGUGUCCUAACGUAUUGGGUGUGGCAUGUUACCUUCUCAAAAUGAAGAUUUUCACAUAAAAUAAAAGUGAUAUUCAAAGUUCGGGGAUUUUGAGGAAUUGUACCCUAACGUAUUGGGACUCGAUUUCUUUACAUGACUUGAACAAUUGAUUAUCCUUUUUCAAAUUUCAUCAUUUGAGUUGAUUUCAAAAUCUUUUUAACCUUCGACACUAAGACAUUAAAUGGUCAAUAUGGUACCGAUUUUGGGCGUUACGAGGGUGCUAACCCUUCCUCGUGCGUAACUGACUCCCGAACUCGUUUCUUCAAAAUUCGUAGACCAAAAUAAUUUUUAAGGUGAGCCGAUCACACCUUAAUAAAAGAUCGAUGGCGACUCCAGUUUUAUCUUUAAAGUCGAUAACUAAAUUUUUGUUUUCAAAAAACGGUUUCGGCAGCUUGGCGACUCCACUGGGGACAUUUGAGAGUCGAGCCAUGAAUUGAUUAUGCUUUGUCUUUUUGUCGAAAGUCAAUUUUUUUUAAAAAAUCAUGAUUUCCUUUUGCAUUUAUUGAUUUUCAUCAUUUGCAUGAUUGAAUCAAGUUGGUUGAUCUGUAUUUGCAUUUUGCAUUGCAUGGUCAAUGUUGCCCCUUUAAGUGGGAGCGAGAAACUAGUCCUUCGUGAGGUUUUCACCUCUGUGCAGGGUAGUGGACCGCUUCCGGGAUACAUCCGUACCUAUGUCUUCGUGAGAUUUUCAUCUCCGUGCAGCCAUAGGGAAAUGUAUCCCCCUGAACUGAACUCGAUCCACAUGAGCCUAUAAUGGGUGAGGAUCGAGGAAUCUGAUGGUUCGGGUACCCUUACUCUAGAAAAUAACCCUCAUAUAGUAAACCUUAGGAACUUACCCUAGGUAGAGCUAUACCAAACCCUAGAGGGGUCCUGAAUAGGUGCUUUUAUAAUUUCCUGUGUACAUUGAAUUAUGAUUUUAUGCAUGAUACUGACUUUUUGUGUUUCACUUUGACUGCAUAGCAUUUAGACUGCAUGGCAUUUCGUUAUAGAAAAGAGAUGUUGAUUCAUGUUUGGUUGUUAAAUAGAGAACUUACCACAGAAAACGGGUUUCUUGAUAAGGUGGAAGAUAAUACGGUUGUCCGAGUAUAGUCUAAGAAAGCAUGACACGAAAAAACCUAACAAGAGGAGUAUACGACUUUGCUGCAUGACCAGAGGAUUCAAAUUGCCAAAGAUUAUUCAAAAGUCAUCAAAGGUUUCAACCUCUUAAAGAAGAUAAUGAACAGAGAGUUACGACCUAGAUCAAACAAGAAGGAGCUCAAAUUUGCGAGAUACAUCUUAAUACCUGAAUGGUCGAUGUCUUUGUUUGGAGUACGAGGGUGAAGCCGUAUAUAUAUAUCCGCUUUGUGUAAAAAUAUUUGUUUUCUAGCGAAGUUUUUCUAGUAAAGAAUUGAACCAGAAUCAACGUCUCUUUUUGCAUUCAUGCAUUUGCAUUUCAUUACAUCAUAUGCAUUAGACACCGUUAAAUGAUCCUAAUUAACUAAAAUCAUUGCUCAAUUAACUUGGAAACCAACCAACCGACCAAGCACCGUUACGGCACUCGAGCAAAGAUUAAGGAUAUAGAUCAGAGAUUGAAAAAACUCAAACAGUGUCAGAAGGAGAUGCAAGACCGACUUUAGCUACAGGUAGAGCGGUUAGAUAAGAUGAAACAAGAGAUGUCUGAGAAGAUGCGAGAAUCCCAAGAAGAUAUAGUGGCAAAGUUAACCCAACUGAUAACUAGGGGAAGUGAUAAAGGAAAGGGCCCCAUGGCAAGUAUCGAUGAGGAAAAUGAUGAUGAACCUCUCUAUCCUCUAGGUUUCACCCCUCCACAUGUGUGAACUCAAGCUGAAUACCCACACAAAUCAACUGUCACCAUCAUGCCUCAGCAGUUUCUGGCUGGUAUUUCAAACUUCCAAACUGGGCCGAGUUCUAAUCCUGAAAAUAAUCCUGUUAACUCUGCCAAUCCUGACUUUGAUGAAGUGGUUGAGAAGGAAAGAAUGAAGGAGGAGUUAUCGAAACAGUUAGAAGAAAUGUGUAGGUGGCUCGAGGAGAAGUUCAAGGCGAUGGAGGUCACUGAGGGUUAUCGAGGCAUUGACGCAAAAAAGCUGAGUUUAGUUCCAGAUUUGGUACUUCCUCACAAGUUCAAGAUGCCAGAAUUUGAGAAGUACAAUGGGACGACUUUCCCAGAGGCUCAUAUCACCAUGUUCUGCAGGCGAAUGGUUGGAUACGUUAACAAUGACCAGCUAUUAAUACACUGUUUCCAAGAUAGCCUAGCAGGGGCAGCAUCUAAGUGGUACAAUCAGCUGAGCCGUACCACGAUUGGUUCAUGGAGGGACCUGGCACAAGCAUUCAUGAAACAAUAUAGUCAUGUGACAGACAUGGCUCCUGAUAGAAUCACCCUUCAGAACAUAGAGAAGAAGCCGAGCGAAAGCUUUAGGCAGUAUGCGCAGAGAUGGAGGGAGGUCGCAGUCCAAGUUCAGCCACCGCUCCUGGAAAAGGAAAUGACCAUGUUGUUCAUUAACACCCUGAAGGCACCGUUCAUUACACAUAUGUUAGGAAGUGCCACAAAAAGGUUUCCUGACAUAGUCAUGAAUGGCGAGAUGAUUGAGAACGCCAUCAGGAGUGGGAAGAUUGAGGCUGGAGAGAGUAACAAGAGAUCAGUCUCAAGGAGAAGAGAAAAUGAGGUGAACAACACAAGUUACUCUAAAUCAGUUACUGUAAGUCAUCCAGGAAAGGGGGUUGCUAGUCAACAAAGUUCAUUGAGACAGGAAUCUGGAGUGAAACCAGGUACUGAGAAGCUCCAGUUUACACCAAUUCCGAUGUCGUAUAAGGAGCUGUACCAAAGCUUAUUCGAUGCACACGUUGUUUCUCCUUCCUACUUAAAACCCCCACAACCUCCGUAUCCCAAGUGGUAUGAUGCGAAUGCACAAUGUGACUACCAUGCGGGAAUUACAGGGCACUCAAUCGAGAAUUGCAUUACCUUCAAAAAGCUAGUCGAAAAACUCAUCAACAUGAAUGUUGUCAAGCUUGAUGACUCAUCUAGUGCAAAAAAAUCCGCAUCCUAAUCAGGAUUGACAAUAGGGUGGAUGCAAUAUAUGAAGAGGUGUUGGGAGGUGUUCACAUCAGGGACCUAUACAAUAAACAACUAAAGAAGGGACCUUGUCAGAUAUUCGCCCUUGUAAACCUGAGAGUGUUCUAAAUAAUUGGACUGCAGAAGAAACUCUGUAGUAUUUAGAUUUUGUUAGAGCAAUUUUCAGAACACACUUGUUGCUUUCAGCCUAGAAGCAAUAAGAAUUUCUUUGUGAGAUAGGCUCACGUCUAAAAAUUAUUAUUUUAAUGAAAUACAUUAUUGCAAUCAUCUUUGAGCAAAUGUUCUUUCAUUCUUUACGUUUUUUCCAUUCUUUCAAUUUUUUUUUCUGCCAGAUUAUUCAUUCAUUUAUUCAUAUUACCCAUACAUUCUUUCGUAUAUUCUUCGGUACCCACUAUGGGUCCCCAAAUAUCAAUGACAUGAGUGAUGCAGCAACAGACCCAGAAUCUCCUUUUGAGUGAGACAUGUGUUUAGAAGGAUCUCACAACUUUGAAGAUGACAUAAAUUGUAGCUUAUUUCUGGACUUAUUAAGGAUGGUAGAGCAGGAAGGAAAUUUUACCUCAUGAGGAGUCAAUAGAAACUGUGACCUUGAGGGAACAUGCAUGACCGAAAAAGUAAUACGUUGUUGGGUUACUUCAAGCAUUCAAAGAUGCCUUCGCAUGGUGAUACCAGGAUGUACCCGGUUUAAGCACCGUCAUUGCAAUCUGAACAACAGCACGAUAUCAAAAAUUUGCAGUAUGUUCAAGAUUAAUAUCAUGAAUGAUGCAGUGAAAACUCUACCGGAGCAGUGCCUCUCUCUUUAGUUCAUCACGGUUUUUUCUAUUGAAGUUGAAAUUCUUUCUCUCCGGGUAUUGGCUGAGCAAGUUAGAUGAAGCAGAAUAGAUCCGAUCGCAAUGUGAUCAAUUGAACUUGAUAGAAGAAAGAAGGCUAAAAGCUAUUCAUCACGGUCAGAUGUGCCAGAAAUGAAUGAUGCGAGCCUAUAACAAAAGGUUUAUCCUAGAGAAUUCCACGAGGGUGACCAAAUGUUGAAGAUCCUCCAUCUGCAAAAAAUAUUAUGGAGGGAAACGGAUGCCAAAUUGGGUGGAACCUUAUGAUUAUAGAGAAGGUUUUUUUCCAAAGAAGCUUUGAUUUUGAGUGAGAUGGAUGAUAAACCUGUAAAGUCUUGUAAACUCAGACUCAGUUAGGAAAUUCUCCACCUAAAGAAGGAGAAGGCCAAGGUAAAAACCCGCAAAGGGAAGUUUGAAUCCAAAAAAAAAAAGAAAAAAAGUGAUGUGGAAAAUGAAAAGAUGAAAAUGAAAAAUGAAAUUGUAAAAACGGAGAGGCUAAGAUGAAAACCCGCAAAGGGCGCCUUAGACCAAAGGGGAUUUGAGUUGAAAACCCAAAAAGGGCGGCUCAAAUAUUGAUCAGAAUGGGACAUGAGAUUAUCGGAGCAGUUCAAAUACUGAUCAGAGUGGGGCAUGCAGUGGUCUUGCUAUACCUGAAUUUCAAUAGGAAAGGGUAAGAGACAUCUUGGGGCAUCGACAAAGUACUAUAGAUCUCCUAAACACAUGUUAAACUCAGAAUGGUCUUCAGAGAGUCUGUACAGAGAAGUUCAAACUGCGAUAUCUGGGGCACCUAAUCCUUAUACCAUUUUUGUUAUUCUUGGAACACUUCAUUCAUUGCCAAGAUAUGCAUUCCUAAAUCAUUUUCUUUAUUAUCCAUCUUUAUUAUCUUUGAGAAUCUAUUCAUUUCAGAGUCAUGCUCUAAAUCAAUUCUAUUCCUACCCAUUGUUAUGAUCUCUUGCAAGCGUGUUGCAUUAGAAUAAUUAUCAAUAGACUAAUAAAACUUUCACAAGGGAAGUUUUGCAUAUUACUCUAGAAGUUUCUGAAUAAUAUAGGAACCUCAAACAUGACUAUUGUUUAGAACGCACCAGGUUGGAAAUCUGAUAAAGAAGAGUCUAAAUUAAGACUAUCCCUUUGAAUUUUCUUGUCUAAAGUAUUAAUUGAACAAAAUGGCAGGAUGUCAUUUUGGUGACAAAGCUUCAAUGAACAAGCAAGCAAUGAUUACCGAGUAAUAUGAAGAAGUUGUUCUUGGAGAAGAUUUCUUCAUUUGUGCAUGAGCAUUUGGUACAACACCUUGGGAAUGGUGUAAGAGACCAAAAAGUUUCACAUCCUGUAUCCUUGAAUUGUGAUAGCAGAUGAUUGAGAAAAGGCCGAAUCUUUUUACUCUUGGGUUACAACAGGAGAAAGAUGGUACAUAUUUUGCAUCCCAGUGGAUCAAACUUGGAGGUUUACAGUGGGGGGCAAUCUGGUUAAGUGUUUUUCGGAGAUGCUAGCUGAGCAAGAAUGUGUUAUAGCUCAUUAGUGAGGAAACCUUAAUAAACUUGGAGUAAUAAUAACUCAAACGUUAAAAUAUCAUUUUCAUGACAUUCUGCAUUCAUGCAAACACCAUUCACAUCUGUCUAGUUAGGAGCAUUUGAUUUAUUUUGAUCAUGUCAUCCUAAUCAUUAGGCAUAAUUAGGUUCAUUAUACAGGUCAUGUUCCCCAGAGAACAGAUCAGUGAUGAUAACAGAUAUUGUCUUCCUGUAUCGAAAGUGAAACAGAUCGAAGACACCAACGUCGCCUCCCUCGGAGACAGUGGAGCAGGUUGAAGAUAGCAGAUCUUGCCUUCCUGCAUAGACAGCGAAGCAGAUCGAAGAUGGUGAAUUUUACCUCCCUAUGGUUACAGUAGAGUACAUUGAAGCCAGUAAUUCUACUUCCCUAGGCAGCAGUGGAAUAGAUUGAAGAUUUCAGAUCUUGUCUCCCUAAGCAGUAGUGGAGCAGAUCGAAUGUGGCAGAUUUUACCUCCUUGUGGUUACAGUGGAGUACAAUGAAGCCAGCAAUUCUACUUCCCUGAGUAGCAGUGGAAUAGAUUUCAGAUCUUACCUCCCUAAGCAGUAGUGGAGCAGAUCAAAGAUGACAGAUUUUACCUCCCUGAGGUUACAGUGGAGUACAUUGAAGCUAGUAAUUCUAUCUCCCUGGGCAGCAAUGGAAUAGAUUGAAGAUUUCAGAUAUUACCUCCCUAAGCAGUAGUGGAGCAGAUCAAGGAUGGCGGAUUUUACCUCCUUGAGGUUGCAGUGGAGUACAUUGAAGCCAGUAAUUCUACUUCCCUGGGCAGCAGUGGAAUAGAUUAAAGAUUUCAGAUCUUGUCUCCCUAAGCAGUAGUGGGGCAGAUCAAAGAUGGUGAAUUUUACCUUCCUGUGGUUACAGUGGAGUACAUUGAAGCCAGUAAUUCUAUCUCCCUAGGCAGCAGUGGAAUAGAUUGAAGAUUUCAGAUCUUACCUCCCUAAGCAGUAGUGGAGCAGAUCAAAGAUGGCAGAUUUUACCUCCCUGAGGUUACAGUGGAGUACAUUGAAGCCAGUAAUUCUAUCUCCCAGGGCAGCAGUGGAAUAGAUUGAAGAUUUCAGAUCUUACCUCACUAAGCAGUAGUGGAGCAGAUCAAGGAUGGUGGAUUUUACCUCCCUGAGGUUGCAGUGGAGUAGAUUGAAGCCAGUAAUUCUACUUCCCUAGGCAGCAGUGGAAUAGAUUAAAGAUUUCAGAUCUUGUCUCCCUAAGCAGUAGUGGGGCAGAUCAAAGAUGGUGAAUUUUACCUCCCUGUGGUUACAGUGGAGUACAUUGAAGCUAGUAAUUCUAUCUCCCUGGGCAGCAGUGGAAUAGAUUGAAGAUUUCAGAUCUUACCUCCCUAAGCAGUAGUGGAGCAGAUCAAGGAUGGCGGAUUUUACCUCCCUGAGGUUGCAUUGGAGUACAUUGAAGCCAGUAAUUCUACUUCCCUGGGCAGCAGUGGAAUAGAUUAAAGAUUUCAGAUCUUGUCUCCCUAAGCAGUAGUGGGGCAGAUCAAAGAUGGUGAAUUUUACCUCCCUGUGGAUACAGUGGAGUACAUUGAAGCCAGUAAUUCUACUUCCCUGGGCAGCAGUGGAAUAGAUUAAAGAUUGCAGAUCUUAUCUCCUUGAAGUUGCAGUGGAGCAGAUUAAAUAUAGUAAAUUUUGUUCUUUUGAAAAGUUACAACGUACGAAUCCUAUCUCCCUGACGUUGCAGUGGAGUGGAUCGAAGCACGGGUUCCUAUACCUCUGAAAAUGCAGUAGGAAGGAAUGAUGCUACCUGGAGAAAUGAAGCAUUGAAGAAGUUGAAGCUUAGUAAGACCGGGCACAAUUGGGCUUUUCAGUCUUUGCUCUGUUCCCGUUACACGAUAACGAGCAAAGAGGGGCAGCUGUACAAGCCCAAAUAUGCCCGGGCCCAAGAAAAUAAAUAGCCCCAAACACGCCCAACCCACUAAACCUGGCCCAAACAAAAAACAAAAUAACAGAAACCCUAAGAGCCUAUUUGCUUCAGCACUGCCGCAGCUCACCCUCGCACACCACCGCGAAUCUCGCGCCACGACCCUCCCCAACGUGCACCGCUCCAUGCGCUAGCAAUACCUGCAGCAACAAACGCAAAACAAAACAGCAAAAAAAAUGGAACAAAAACAACAAUAUGCCAACGAAAAAUAGGAGAUUUCUUUGGAUUUGGGUUCAUUUUUUCCCAUUUUCAGCUAUUUAAAGCCGUUAUCGAAUCUGUAAAAAGGAGGGGGAUUACAGUUUAGAUACGAAAAAUAGAGAGAAAAUAGAGAUUUACUUAUUGAUUUCCGAAUACAAAAGGUGGUUUUUUUGGAGUUUUUUUUAUUCCUAGUUUCGUUUUGUUUUCUUUUUUCUCUUUUAGUUUUUUAUUUUAUUUUAUUUUUCAUUUAAAAUAAAGAAAGGAAAAGACUUACCUGGUCGCCGGAGUUGUCGAGCCGGUGUCUUCUCCGACGAAAUCGGGGCAUGGGGCACUAGGCUCGAACGGCGGCGCAAGGAGGGAGGGGGUUAAAAAAACCCCUAGCAGACCACUGUUCUUUAA
rnacentral:lncRNA from 1 species